GUUUACAGCCAUACCACCCUGAGCACACCUGAUCUCAUCUCAUCUCCAAAGCUAAGCUGGGUUGGUCCUGGUUUGUACUUGGAUAGGAGACUACCUGCGAAUUUCAGGUGCUGUUUGGG
rnacentral:rRNA from 1 species